UCAAUUCUUUAAUUAUUUCGGGGUGCUAACCUCAUCUAGUUUUCUUAUUCCGGUGCAAUAUCUCUCGUUUUAGCAAUUGUUUCAACGGUGAUCUCCUUUGAGUGGGCCCAUAACCCACAGGUUUUCCCAGGAUCUUACAUGGCUCUUUAAUCUUUUGCAGAGAUCCUUAAUUCUUUUCAACUAUGACGUAAGUAUGAAUUUCAUCAGUCAUAUUCCUUCUUCAAGAUCAAUUUGAAUUAAUUCUCUUAUUUGGCUCAACCUUGCAUCCUUCUUUAUUCUGGAGUGUCUCAUUAAUUCUUGGUGGUGUUCUCCUCCUCAUUCUCAGCUUGCUAUCCGAAUGAGUGUUUCUCUCAAUCUUG
rnacentral:lncRNA from 1 species